rnacentral:rRNA from 1 species
ACGGAAGGCAGCAGUGGGGGAUAUUGCGCAAUGGGGGAAACCCUGACGCAGCAACGCCGCGUGAAGGAUGAAGGUUUUCGGAUUGUAAACUUCUUUUGUUAAGGACGAAGAAAGUGACGGUACUUAACGAAUAAGCUCCGGCUAACUAUGUGCCAGCAGCCGCGGUAAUACAUAGGGAGCAAGCGUUGUCCGGAUUUACUGGGUGUAAAGGGUGCGUAGGCGGCAAGGCAAGUCAGAUGUGAAAUGUAUGGGCUCAACCCAUAAGCUGCAUUUGAAACUGUCUAGCUUGAGUGAAGUAGAGGCAGGCGGAAUUCCCGGUGUAGCGGUGAAAUGCGUAGAGAUCGGGAGGAACACCAGUGGCGAAGGCGGCCUGCUGGGCUUUAACUGACGCUGAGGCGCGAAAGCGUGGGUAGCAAAUAGGAUUAGAUACCCUGGUA